rnacentral:rRNA from 1 species
UACGGAGGGCGCAAGCGUUAUCCGGAAUUACUGGGUUUAAAGGGUGCGUAGGCGGCGCUGUAAGUCAGGGGUGAAAGGUUCCGGCUCAACCGGAGAAUGGCCUUUGAUACUGCAGUGCUGGGAUUGGGUUGAGGUUGGCGGAAUGUGACAUGUAGCGGUGAAAUGCAUAGAUAUGUCAUAGAACACCGAUUGCGAAGGCAGCUGACUGGGCCUUGAUUGACGCUGAGGCACGAAAGCGUGGGGAGCUAACAGG